rnacentral:rRNA from 1 species
CGGUCCUUUAAGUUUGGUGUGAAAUCUCCCGGCUCAACUGGGAGGGUGCGCCGAAUACUGAGGGGCUAGAGUGCGGGAGAGGAGAGUGGAAUUCCUGGUGUAGCGGUGAAAUGCGUAGAUAUCAGGAGGAACACCGGUGGCGAAGGCGGCUCUCUGGGCCGGUCCUGACGCUGAGGCGCGAAAGCGUGGGGAGCAAACAGGAUUAGAUACCCACGUAGUCCU